rnacentral:rRNA from 1 species
UACGUAGGGGGCUAGCGUUGUCCGGAUUUAUUGGGCGUAAAGAGCGUGUAGGCGGCCAUGUAGGUCCGGUGUGAAAACUCGAGGCUUAACCUCGAGAUGUCAUCGGAAACCAUUUGGCUAGAGUCCGGAAGAGGAGAGUGGAAUUCCUGGUGUAGCGGUGAAAUGCGUAGAUAUCUGGAGGAACACCGGUGGCGAAGGCGGCAUCCUGGACCGGCAUUGACGCUGAGGCGCGAAAGCCAGGGGAGCAAACGGG